rnacentral:rRNA from 1 species
AACGAACGCUGGCGGCAGGCCUAACACAUGCAAGUCGAACGCCCCGCAAGGGGAGUGGCAGACGGGUGAGUAACGCGUGGGAACCUUCCCUGUGGUACGGAACAACUGACCGAAAGGUUAGCUAAUACCGUAUACGUCCGAGAGGAGAAAGAUUUAUCGCCAUAGGGUGGGCCCGCGUCGGAUUAGCUAGUUGGUGAGGUAAUGGCUCACCAAGGCGACGAUCCGUAGCUGGACUGAGAGGAUGAUCAGCCACACUGGGACUGAGACACGGCCCCACCGCCGACGGGGGGCAGCAGUGGGGAAUAUUGGACAAUGGGCGCAAGCCUGAUCCAGCCAUGCCGCGUGAGUGAUGAAGGUCUUCGGAUUGUAAAACUCUUUCGCCGGGGAAGAUAAUGACGGUACCCGGAGAAGAAGCUCCGGCUAACUUCGUGCCAGCCGCCGCCGUAACAC